rnacentral:rRNA from 1 species
UACGGGGGGGGCAAGCGUUGUUCGGAAUUACUGGGCGUAAAGGGUUCGUAGGUGGCUUGCUAAGUCAGACGUGAAAUCCCUCAGCUUAACUGGGGAACUGCGUCUGAUACUGGCGAGCUUGAGUGCAGGAGAGGAACGCGGAAUUCCAGGUGUAGCGGUGAAAUGCGUAGAUAUCUGGAGGAACACCGGUGGCGAAGGCGGCAUCCUGGACCAACACUGACGCUGAGUGAGCGAAAGCCAGGGGAGCAAACGGG